GAUGAACGCUAGCGGCAGGCCUAAUACAUGCAAGUCGAACGGUGUCUUCGGACAUAGUGGCGCACGGGUGCGUAACACGUAUGCAACCUACCUUACAUUGGGGGAUAGCCUUUCGAAAGGGAGAUUAAUACCGCAUAAGACAGUAGCUGGGCAUCCAGCAGCUGUUAAAGAUUUAUCGAUGUAAGCUGGGCAUGCGUCCAAUUAGCUAGUUGGUGAGGUAACGGCUCACCAAGGCAAUGAUUGGUAGGGGAACUGAGAGGUCAAUCCCCCACACUAGCACUGAGAUACGGGCCAGACUCCUACGGGAGGCAGCAGUAGGGAAUAUUGGGCAAUGGACGCAAGUCUGACCCAGCCAUGCCGCGUGCAGGAUGAAGGCGUUAUGCGUCGUAAACUGCUUUUAUACAGGAAGAAACGACUCUUGCGAGAGGCAUUGACGGUACUGUAUGAAUAAGCACCGGCUAACUCUGUGCCAGCAGCCGCAGUAACAC
rnacentral:rRNA from 1 species